GAUGAACGCUGGCGGCGUGCCUAAUACAUGCAAGUCGAGCGAACAGACGAGGAGCUUGCUCCUCUGACGUUAGCGGCGGACGGGUGAGUAACACGUGGAUAACCUACCUAUAAGACUGGGAUAACUUCGGGAAACCGGAGCUAAUACCGGAUAAUAUAUUGAACCGCAUGGUUCAAUAGUGAAAGACGGUUUUGCUGUCACUUAUAGAUGGAUCCGCGCCGCAUUAGCUAGUUGGUAAGGUAACGGCUUACCAAGGCGACCAUGCGUAGCCGACCUGAGAGGGUGAUCGGCCACACUGGAACUGAGCCACGGUCCAGACUCCUACGGGAGGCAGCAGUAGGGAAUCUUCCGCAAUGGGCGAAAGCCUGACGGAGCAACGCCGCGUGAGUGAUGAAGGUCUUCGGAUCGUAAAACUCUGUUAUUAGGGAAGAACAAAUGUGUAAGUAACUAUGCACGUCUUGACGGUACCUAAUCAGAAAGCCACGGCUAACUACGUG
rnacentral:rRNA from 1 species